CCCUGCCAUUUGUACACACCGCCCGUCGCUCCUACCGAUUGGAUGGUCCGGUGAGGUUUUCGGACUGACGCAACGCAGCGGUUCGCCGUCGUGAUGCGUCGGGAAGUCACCCAAACCUUAUCAUCUAG
rnacentral:rRNA from 1 species